AUAUAUAAAAGACAAAAUACAUUUAAUUAGUGUCUAUCUUCUUUUUCUUCUAUCUAAACUAGCCGAACCACCUAGCUUCUCCUCUUCCUCCAUUUUUCUUCCAUUUCCAAGCUUCAUUUUCUUGAUAUUCUUCCAUAAAUCACCUAGCUCCUAAAGUAAAAGCUUGUAAUUUGGUCUUGAUAAGAAGAUUGGUAGCAAAAGGAAGUGAGGAAAUUGAAGUUUUGGAAAUUAGAAAAAUCUCUCAAGUGAGGUAUUGGAGAUAAAGCUCAGUAGAUAGUGGAUUGGGAUUUUAGACUACAGAUCUGCAGAAGUAUAAGUUGUGUCACCUCCUCACAGCAGUGCAUUUUGGCUCUCUGUUUAGUUUAUGAUCAAAACCAAACUUGAAGAUGGGUUGCUUGAAUUGAAUCCUAAGAUAGACAAGACUCUUAGAGCCAUCAAGAGUGAGAGGAGACAACAAUAAACAAAACCAGAAGUUAU